GAAGACUAGUUCUGGUUAAAUACAGAUAUUACUGGUGGGAGCAGACCAGAGCCAUACUUUAUUACAGAUGACUGAGACCUGGGCACGAAGGGGCGGAGCUUUAGGAACUGUCCAAUGAGGGAUGCCGCUGGGAAAGGUGGGUGGAGCGACGCUGCGUCCGCGGCGUGGACUUUCCUACUCCCAUAGAUACUGAUUGGGCUUGGUGUCUUGUUUACACGUGACCACCCCAGGUGGCUCUGCUGCUCCUUCUGUUGCGCUGCUGCCUGCACCAGUCGUGGGAGCUGCCGCGACUCUGGGGGACGCUGGAAGCCGAGAAGUGCUUCCGGGUUAUCCACCCCACGACUGUCGCGGCAAGUGCCGUUCACAGUGAUACAGGAUGCCGCGCAGCCACCGACCGCCUUUAACCGCGCGGAUCUACGGCGCGGGAGCGAAGAGGUCUGAGCGAACCGUCCACACCACCCACGCCCAUCACUGGAGCGUCGCCCACACGUUAAAGGAGGCAAAUUGAAAGACCGCGGCGGAGUGAAAAAUAACAGACGGCGAAGGUAUGAAGGAUCAACAGAGGUUCAAAGCCAUGACUGUGUGUGCGGCAGGGUGGGGAUGAGUCAGGAAUGGGAAUGUCUGGACACUCUCACCACUGCCCACAUGCCAUUUGUGAGCCUUCAGGAAGAUUCCAAGGAUGUUUCUAUUAUUACUAAAACUUACCACAAAACAUUCUGUAUAUUCUUUUUUGAAUAUAGUUGCUGAUAAAAAAUUUUAGGAAGUUAUUAAGGUUGAAAAAGAAUAUAAUUUGUCUAUGUUGGUUUGUCCUAUAAAGUGGCAGUAUG